rnacentral:rRNA from 1 species
GACGAACGCUGGCGGCGUGCCUAACACAUGCAAGUCGAGCGAGUGGAUCUCCUUCGGGAGUGAAGCUAGCGGCGACGGGUGAGUAACACGUGGGCAACCUGCCUCAUAGAGGGGAACAGCCUUUCGAAAGGAAGAUUAAUACCGCAUAAGAUUGUAGCUUCGCAUGAAGUAGCAAUUAAAGGAGCAAUCCGCUAUGAGAUGGGCCCGCGGCGCAUUAGCUAGUUGGUGAGGUAACGGCUCGACCAAGGCGACGAUGCGUAGCCGACCUGAGAGGGUGAUCGGCCACAUUGGGACUGAGACACGGCCCAGGACUCCUACGGAGGCAGCAUGGGGAAUAUUGCACAAUGGGAGAAACCCUGAUGCAGCAACGCCGCGUGAGUGAUGACGGCC